ACCCGCACAAGCGGUGGAUGAUGUGGAUUAAUUCGAUGCAACGCGAAGAACCUUACUACCCUUGACAUGUCCGGAACUUGCCAGAGAUGGCUUGGUGCCCGAAAGGGAAUCGGAACACAGGUGCUGCAUGGCUGUCGUCAGCUCGUGUCGUGAGAUGUUGGUUAAGUCCCGCAACGAGCGCAACCCUUAUCAUUAGUUGCUACGCAAGGGCACUCUAAUGAGACUGCCGGUGACAAACCGGAGGAAGUGGGGGAUGACGUCAAGUCCUCAUGGCCCUUAUGGGUAGGGCUUCACACGUCAUACAAUGGUCGGUACAGAGGGUUGCCAAGCCGCGAGGCGGAGCCAAUCCCACAAAGCCGAUCGUAGUCCGGAUUGUUCUCUGCAACUCGAGAGCAUGAAGUCGGAAUCGCUAGUAAUCGCAGGUCAGCAUACUGCGGUGAAUACGUUCCCGGGUCUU
rnacentral:rRNA from 1 species